rnacentral:rRNA from 1 species
UUCCGGUUGAUCCCGCCGGAGGUUACUGCUAUCGAGGUUCGACUAAGCCAUGCGAGUCGAAUGUAGCAAUACAUGGCGAACUGCUCAGUAACACGUGGACAACCUGCCCUUAGGACGGGGAUAAACCCGGGAAACUGGGUAUAAUACCCGAUAGGUCUCGAUUGCUGGAAUGCAUCGAGAUUUAAAGCUCCGGCGCCUAAGGAUGGGUCUGCGGCCUAUCAGGUAGUAGUGGGUGUAGCGUACCUACUAGCCUACGACGGGUACGGGUUGUGAGAGCAAGAGCCCGGAGAUGGAUUCUGAGACACGAAUCCAGGCCCUACGGGGUGCAGCAGGCGCGAAAACUUUACAAUGCUGGCAACAGCGAUAAGGGAACCUCGAGUGCCAGGUUACAAAUCUGGCUGUCGAGAUGCCUAAAAAGCAUUUCAUAGCAAGGGCCGGGCAAGACCGGUGCCAGCCGCCGCGGUAACACCGGCGGCUCGAGUGGUAACCGUUAUUAUUGGGUCUAAAGGGCCUGUAGCCGGCCGGAUAAGUCUCUUGAGAAAUCUGGCAGCUUAACUGUCAGGCUUUCAGGAGAUACUGUCUGGCUCGAGGCCGGGAGAGGUGAGAGGUACUUCAGGGGUAGGGGUGAAAUCUUGUAAUCCUUGAAGGACCACCAGUGGCGAAGGCGUCUCACCAGAACGGACCUGACGGCAAGGGACGAAAGCUAGGGGCACGAACCGGAUUAGAUACCCGGGUAGUCCUAGCCGUAAACGAUACUCGCUAGGUGUCGGCCACGGUGCGACCGUUGUCGGUGCCGUAGGGAAGCCGUGAAGCGAGCCACCUGGGAAGUACGGCCGCAAGGCUGAAACUUAAAGGAAUUGGCGGGGGAGCACCACAA